UACGAGUGCGUCGAGCGUUAUCCGGAAUCAUUGGGCGUAAAGGGUGUGUAGGUGGCGUUGUUAGUCUCCCGUAAAAUUUCUCGGCUCAACCGGGGGCUCGCUGGAGAAACGGCAAUGCUUGAGGUUGGUAGGGGUUUCUGGAACUCUAAGUGUAGCGGUGAAAUGCGUUGAUAUUUAGGGGAACACCAAAAGCGAAGGCAGGAAACGUGGACCAAUACCUGACACUGAAACACGAAGCGUGGGUAAGCGAAUGGG
rnacentral:rRNA from 1 species